GGGGAAUCUUCCGCAAUGGACGAAAGUCUGACGGAGCAACGCCGCGUGAGUGAUGACGGCCUUCGGGUUGUAAAGCUCUGUUAAUCGGGACGAAAGGUCUUCUUGCGAAUAGUUAGAAGAAUUGACGGUACCGGAAUAGAAAGCCACGGCUAACCACGUGCCAGCAGCCGCGGUAAUACGUAGGUGGCAAGCGUUGUCCGGAAUUAUUGGGCGUAAAGCGCGCGCAGGCGGAUUGGUCAGUCUGUCUUAAAAGUUCGGGGCUUAACCCCGUGAUGGGAUGGAAACUGCCAAUCUAGAGUAUCGGAGAGGAAAGUGGAAUUCCUAGUGUAGCGGUGAAAUGCGUAGAUAUUAGGAAGAACACCAGUGGCGAAGGCGACUUUCUGGACGAAAACUGACGCUGAGGCGCGAAAGCCAGGGGAGCGAACGGGAUUAGAUACCCCGGUAGUCCUGGCCGUAAACGAUGGGUACUAGGUGUAGGAGGUAUCGACCCCUUCUGUGCCGGAGUUAACGCAAUAAGUACCCCGCCUGGGGAGUACGACCGCAAGGUUG
rnacentral:rRNA from 1 species